rnacentral:lncRNA from 1 species
AGACCACAAGCCUGGGUUCCAAGGGAAAAGCUACCCAGGCCACUGACAAGUAGUGCUUCGGCUAUUCGUAAGCUUAUGCGCAAAGCAGAGCUGAUGGGAAUCAGUACGGAUAUCUUUCCAGUGGACAACUCAGAUACUAGUUCUAGUGUGGAUGGAAGGCGGAAGCAUAAGCAGCCCGCUCUCACUGCUGAUUUUGUGAAUUACUAUUUUGGUCAGUAUAGACACUGAUACAUACACAAUCUCCCUGAGAAUAAGUUGCUAAUGACAGAAUGGGAUGUGCAAUUAGUGUUUUAGAAAAUCAUUACUGUGUUGUAUAUGUCAGAGGCAUGCUUAUUUUCCUAAUUGUAGCCUUUGUAAAUUCUAGUGUUUAUUCUUAAAUAUACUUUAAAUUUUGUUUGACCAAUGUAAGUUUAUCCAAAUGAUCAUCUCUAUGGCUAGUUUGCUGCUUUGUGUAUGUUUUAUAUUAGCCUUUACUUUCUACUGAAGUAAAAUUGGAUAUUUAAUUUAAAUAGAGAGAAAUAUGCGCAUGAUUCAAAUUCAGGAAAAUAUGGCUGAACAAAAGAAUAUAAAGGAUAAAUUAGAGAAUGAGCAAGAAAAGCUUCAUGUAGAAUAUAAUAAGGUACGUUGGCUAAUAAUGCACAGUAUCCCUUAGUAGAUCUUAUUUAUAGUUCUUUUGUGAUUUUAUUGUAUUUCUAUGUUUCAGUUUGAAAUUCUAGAGCUCUUCAGCUCUUUCCCAACCUUCAUCAUCAUUUUCAUUACUGUCAUUCUCACUGCGUGCAUUCUUACACCAGGCACAGUUGUCAUCCUGCACACAUAGAAAGCCAUGUAAUUUUCUCCUGUCUUUAGUGUUAGUUAUGGCUGUUGCUCCUGUUGGUAGGGGUAGAAACUGAGGGUUGAAAAGGUUGCAUAAUUUGUACCUGGCAACAUAGUAAUCAAGGCUUAGAGUUGGAGUUUAAAACUAACACUGCUAACCUCAUUUCUUAUUCUUAAAUGUAAACAGCAUUAUAGGUCUUAUUUUUUAGUUUGUUGAAAAUUUGAAAACCCAGUCUUAAAGUAGUAGACUUUUAAAAAUUAUAUGCUAAUUUUUUAAAAAAUGUUUUCCAAUUGAAAAAUUUAUUGUAUUUCUUCCUGUCUAAUAUAUAAAGCACGGUCUUUCUAAAGUGUUAGGUACUAAGUAGCAUGAAUAUUUAAAUUAGUAUCUAAUUAUUGUUCCAAAAAAAAAACCUACCCAUUUAAAGUGAUGUAAUUACUAGGAAUUAACAUCCAGUACUCAGCAACAUUGUAGCAAAAAGACUGUUGGGAGUAAAGUCACAAGAUCUGCAGCCUUUUGGUAGUUAAUGUUAGCCAAGAGAACCCUUGGGAUUUUUAGUGUUCUCAUGAAAGAAGUGAUGGAAAUGUGAUUCGAUAGAGAUUUGAUAGCAAAUUAUGUGUCAAAUUAUAUGCCAAACUAUAUAUGCAUCAUUACUGAAAACUGUAGAAUAAAAGAAAGUAUUUCCCUUCUCUUGAGGGUGUUCACCAUACUAGCAAUAAUUAUAUCUUUGUUUUUCAGUAAUUAUCUGACCUGAAUGUUACAAUAAAUGGAAAAUAAAUGU